rnacentral:lncRNA from 1 species
CAAAAAAAAGAUGCCGAAAUGGAAUAUACUAUUAAUAGUUAUAUAUAUACCGAAUGUAAACAAGCUCAAAUGGGAGGAAUAAAUGAAGAGAGUUACUACUUAAAUGAUUUUGACACUUAUAAUGACAAUCAAAAUAGUGAAGAAACGGAAAAUGCUUUAAGAUUUGUUACAGGUUGUAUAAAUGACAAAAACAUUGUAACCUGCACAAACGAUGACAUAGAAAAAAAAACUAAGACUAGAAACAUUACAACAAACAGGAAAAAGAAUAAAAUACAAACGCUAGAACAAUUUUUUACAAACUGCUUAUUAGAGCUAGUUAAAAAUAUUAAAAAUACAAAUACUCAUUCUUUAUGUUUAAUUAUUAACGCUUGUUGUAAGGUACCUUUUGCUGUGCCAACCGAAUUUUUAAACAUAAUGGUUGAAGAAAUAAAUAAAAAAAUAAGUUUUGCAAAUAUAAGACAUUUGUCAUUAAUAAUUAAUGGGUAUAUGAAAUUAGACAUAAACAACCCAAUAUAUAUAUCAAAUAUAUAUAAAGAAAUUGAAAAAAAAAUAAAUUCUUGUGAUGCACAACAAUUAAGUUUUAUAUUAAGUAGUAUGAUUAAAUAUAAAAAUAGAAAUGAAAAUAUAUUACAUAAAAUAAAAGUAAAAUUGUUUUUAAUUAUUAGAAAAAUGGAAUUACCAGUUUUAUGUAAUAUUAUUUAUUAUUAUACAAAACUAAAUUUAUUCAAUGAAGAUAUAUUUGUUUUAUUUCAAAUUUCUUUUAAUAAACUAAUUGGACAAGCUGAUUUGCAUCAUUUGGCUAUAGCAUCUUAUGCACUUGCGAAAUAUCAAAAAAAUAAAAAAAUGGAUACCACUGGUAAUGAUCUGAUUAUGUUGAUAAAGGAGCGCGCUGAAUAUGUUUUGAAGCGGCAGUCACAGCAACAAAGACAGACACAGUCACAGCAACAGCAACAGCAACAGCAACAGCAACAGCAACAGCAACAGCAACAGCAACAGCAACAGAAAAAGCUCCCGCAAAAUGGACAAAGCGCAAUUCUCACCGUUCACAAUAUAAAAGACAUUUUAAUUUUAAUUAAUAGUCUUAGCGAACUUGAUAUUUAUUCGGACGUGUUAGGUGCUUAUCUGUACGACAUAGUACAUAUAAAUAAAAUAAAAAUUGGUUCUGUUUAUUAUGCUACUGGAGGUCAAAGUGUUUUUCUAGGUGACUCAUCAUAUGAUGUAAAACAAGAAGUAAAAAAAAUUAAACAGAGUGUUAGUUUGUUAAAUGAAGAAGACAUUCGAAAUAAGUUUAUAAAUAGGGGUAUAUAUUUAUCAUUAAAGACUUUAGUUUUGUAUAAAAAUCAUUUAUAAGUACAUACUACUAAACACGUUUUAUAUAAUAUAUUAUGCUUUUUAAAUCCAAGGCUUUAUAAAAAAAAAAAAAA